rnacentral:rRNA from 2 species
CGGACGGGUGAGUAACGCGUAGAAUCUACCCUCAGGUCGGGGAUAACCCUUGGAAACGGGGGCUAAUACCGGAUGUGCCGAAAGGUAAAAGGUUUACUGCCUGGGGAGGAGCUCGCGUCUGAUUAGCUAGUUGGUGGGGUAAAAGCCUACCAAGGCGACGAUCAGUAGCUGGUCUGAGAGGAUGAGCAGCCACACUGGGACUGAGACACGGCCCAGACUCCUACGGGAGGCAGCAGUGGGGAAUUUUCCGCAAUGGGCGAAAGCCUGACGGAGCAAGACCGCGUGGGGGAGGAAGGCCUUUGGGUUGUAAACCCCUUUUGUCAGGGAAGAAGACAGUGACGGUACCUGACGAAUCAGCCUCGGCUAACUCCGUGCCAGCAGCCGCGGUAAUACGGAGGAGGCAAGCGUUAUCCGGAAUAAUUGGGCGUAAAGCGUCCGUAGGUGGCCCGGCAAGUCGGUUGUCAAAGACCUCAGCUCAACUGGGGAAAGGCAAGGGAAACUGCAAGGCUAGAGUGCGGUAGGGGUAGAGGGAAUUCCCAGUGUAGCGGUGAAAUGCGUAGAGAUUGGGAAGAACACCGGUGGCGAAAGCGCUCUACUGGGCCGCAACUGACACUCUUGGACGAAAGCUAGGGGAGCGAAAGGGAUUAGAUACCCCUGUAGUCA